AGCAAAGACUACUGAUUCAUUGCUAGGAAGUUGUAAACAUGACAAUGCAAGAAAACACAAAGCAGAAUCUCUUAUUAUUUAAGCAGUAAUAAGAUAAGAGAGGAUAUUGCAUGUUCUAGGCAUGGUUGUUGUCCUCCACUGGAGGAUACUUCCCAUAAGGUGGUUUCUUGUAUGGUGGCUUUUCGUAUGGUGGCUUGUAGUAAGGUGGUUUUGGCUUGUAAAUAGGAGGCUUGUAAAUUGGAGGCUUGUAAAUUGGAGGCUUGUAAUAGAUGGGAGGCUUGUAAAUGGGAGGCUUCUUGAUUGGUUUGUAAUAAGUAGCAAAACCUUGAGGAAUGAGGAUUAGGGCAGCAAGAACAAACACCAGAAAGCUUGAAAAGGAAGCCAUGUUAAAGAUUGGUGUGCAUAACAGACUGAGUAAUGUGUUCAUAUAUAUAGUAGUUAGGAGGGGUCAUUGUAGGUGUAAGGUCUAAAUCUAGGUCAUUAAUGAUUUGCUUUGUCAUAUUAUGGUAUUUGCCAAAGUUCGGUGUGAUUAUUCAAAAUUGAUUUAGAAAUUAUACAUUGAUAUACACAAAUAUUUUACAUUCAUUUAAUACUUGUUAUUUUUUACUCAAUUGUGCUAAAAAAUAUUUUUUAUAGUAAUUAAAAUCCAUGAGAUAUAAAAAAUGAAGCAGUGACACUAUUAUAGAUAUGAAAAGUUUUUUUAUUUGGAUUGGACUUAGAACUGAUGUAAAAAGUGGCUCAGUAACAAAAUUGUAAUAAAUUACAAUUUUUUUAUACCAAUUACACUCAUAAUUGAAUAGAAAGUCGAUUUUCUAUACUAGUUAGACUUAGAACCGAUAUAGAAAGUGUGGUGGUAACAAAACUAUAAUAUUAAACAAACUUUUCUAUAUUCAUUGCAAUCAGAACAAAUAUAGAAAGUUGUUUUUCUAUCCUGGUUAGUCAAUAUAACCGGGAUAUAAUAUUUAAUAUUCAUCUCCUUCUUCUUUUUGCGCUUCAAUUUCGCAAAACUCUUUUUCUUGUUCUCUCUAUGCUUCACCUUCAUUACUUUUCGCUCUCUCUGUGCUUGGCUUCCAUUCAUUCUUGGUCUCUCUACGUUUCCAAUAGUUCACUAAAGUCGCUUGUGCUAUCGUUUGUGGUUGUUGUUUUUGUCAUCGCUGUGGUCGUUGUUUGUUGUCGAUUUUUUAGUCGCGGUGGUUGUUGAAGUUAUCACUGUUGUAGGUCAAGUUGUGGUUCAUCUUUGUCAUCAAUGGUUGGUAUUGCAGUGCCUAUUUUCAUGGAGGUUGGAGUCGUUGUUGUGGUGUCAUUGUUAUCACUGCAUUUUUUCUUCCUCUUGCGUUGAAGCUUUCUUGGUUGCGUUGUUGGUGUUGUAGUAGUGUGGUGAGUAACACUAAAGCUUCCUUGUGUGGUAUGGUAGGUCGUUGCACGUGGUGUUUUUUUGAUCGUUUUGUUGUGGUUCUUGGCAAAUUUUAAACCUUAAUUUACUAUUGUUGAGGAUGUUGUGUUUUGACGUAUUUAUUGUUACAUUGCAUUCGUUGGGAGGAAAAUUUAAUAUUGUGAGGUUUUCCAUUUUUUGGAGCUUUCCAUGUUUGUGUUAUUGCAUUCAAUUGGUGUGAUUACUCUUUUGUGUUAGAAUUUAUGAGAAAAAAGUGAGGUAUAAAAAUCAAUAGGUUUGAAUCUCUACAAAUGAUGAGGCUGCAAGUGAGUAGAUUUUUGGUGGUGAUCAAAAUCACCAAAUAAGUUGUAGGCAAAAGAAAAAUGGAGAUCAAUACGAGUCCUAAUUAGAAAGACUAUUUGGGAAUGAGAUAUCAAUCUCUUAAAUACGUUGAAGUGAAGCGUAUUGAACUAAAUCCAUUGAUUAAUUCUUUAUGUUGUGGUUUGGUAUGACUAAGUUCACAUAUUGGACUCAUGUUUAACUGUUUCUUAGAUCUACCUAAAAGUAGAGGUGUUGGUUUUUACAUAUAAUAAUGGAUAGGUGUUGAAUAAAUUUUAUACGCAUAACAAAUGAAUAUGGGAGCAGAGUAGAACAAUUUCUUGAGUUUGCAAAGACAAGUGUUCUAGACAAUAACAAAAGAUUUUAUUGCUCAUGUGUUAAUUGUUUGAAUGGAUGAAAACUAUCAACUGAAGUUCUUUGGGAGCAUGUUGUUCUCCUAAAGUUACACAAAAUGGACAUGACAUAGUGAAUUAAUAGACACACCUAGUGCAUCCAGAAUGCACUAAGUAUACUUUAUUGUCAAUGGUAUCAAAACACUUUGGAGUCAUAUUAUAUGCAUUUGGAGUCAUAUAAUAUGCAUUUGCAUUCUUAAGAGAAGAUUCUCGUGAUUCUUGGAUUAUAACACUGAUUCUUAUCAAAGAUUAACAUCUUUCUGGAGAACUUUCACUCGACUUAUUAAUCUGCUAGAUUGUGGCUUCCCUAUCCUUGUCUCAUUCUGCAUUCUUCUAUGAUUUAUUCAAGAGAUAGUCCUCUAUUAUACCUUUUUUUCUUAAAAAGAAUUUUUCCUCAAAUUUGUAUAACUUAAAUAUUCCUUAUCAUUUUAAGAAGUUAGAACAACUAGAAAAUGAGGUUGUGGUCAUAUUAUGCCUAUUAGAUAUGUACUUUACACACACGCAGACAAGGACACACACACACAGACUCACAAAUACACAGUCACACACACAAACACACACACACACACAUAAACACACACACACACACAUACAUAAAUGGACAUGCGCGCGCACACACAAAGACACACACACCCAGAAACACACAUACAUAGACACACACACACCCACAAACACACAUACAUAGACACACACACACACACAAACACAAACACACAUACACACAAACAUAGACACACACACCCACAAACACACAUACACACAAACAUAGACACACACUCCCACAAACACAAACAUAAACAUACACACAAACACACACACACACACACAAACAAAUUGACAUACAGAUAGACACAUACAGACACACAAGAAGUCAUCCCAAAAGAAGUCAUCCCCUUCUUAAGUGCUCAUAAAUAUAUUGUUAAAAGAAAGAAAUAAUCCACGAAUACUUCAGAAGUUGGUUAUUAAUGAGCACAACAAAACCUUUUUAAAGUGGUUCAAACAACAUGUUCAAGCUUACCAUACAACCUCUGACACAUUAAAUUGAAUACCAAGUGAACCAAACUUUGAUGUCAUAUGUUGGAGUGGGUAUGAUAUGAAAAAUUAUACAUUUCAUACAAAGAAAAUGAAAAAAAAAACACCACUCACAAUAAUGGAGUAAUAGUUGUGGUUGAGUCAAUGCAUUUCUUGAGUUCAAAGGAUAAAAAUCCUUUUAUGGCAUCAAUGUGCUACUUUCGUGUUAUGGAAGAUAUUUGGGUGAUAGAUUACACAAGUUUCAGAGUACUUAUUUUUAAAUGGGUUGAUUGUAAUAUUGGCAUAAGGACCAAUGAUCUAAGUUUUACAUUGUGCAGAUAUUACAAUUCUUGUUGCUUUCUUGAUGCCUUGGAGAUUUCUUGAGACCUUUGAAUGUUUCUUGUUGUGUACUUGUACUUAAACUCAAUGCUUUGUUAGAAUAUUGCAAAUGAAAUUCGUAAUGAGACAGGUUUCAAUAUAGAUAUAUAUAGGAUAUGACAUUCUGGUGUAGUUUAAUUGAUUAGAUAAAAACCUUAAUCGAUUAAGCCGAAGUUUAUGUUUCAAUGACAUUAUGGUGCAGUUUAAUCGAUUAGGUAAAACCUUAAUUGAUUAGGCCAAAGUUUCUGUUUUAAUCGAUUAGGUUAUUAAUGUUAUCAAUUAAAACAGACAAUUUUGUCAUUUUUUUCUUCUUAUGAGUUCUGACAUGCUUUAACUGAUUGCUAACUAACAUAAUGGAUUAAUAGCAUCAAAAUUGCAGAUUGUAAACUGUCUAACCCAGUUACAUUCAUCUAUACAUGAUAUAUGUAUCUAACAUGAUUUUCCUAUGAUUUUAAACAUUGAUCCAUCAAGAAAGAACAUAUGAUUAAUUCAUCAUCAAAAACAUUUUACCAAAUUUAGAAGGGAAAAGCUCCCCCUUUCAACACUAACCGGUAUAAAAAGUUACUUUUUAUAUACAAAUUUAUCUCUUUCCUAAUAAACUUUUUAUAUCGGUUUCAGAUUCAGUAUAAAAAGUCAAAUACUUUCUAUACCGAUUCAAAAACUGGUAUAAAUUUUUUUUAACUCAUAUAAAAAAGCUUUUCUGAUAUAGUGACUCUUCCUUUUCUUUUUAAAAUAUAAAAGUUUAUGUUUUUAAGACUAUUUUAAUCUUAUAAUAUGUGUCAAAUGAAUAUAAAUGUAUCUUAUCCUACUAUGACUUGAUUUAGACCCUUUAGUCUUGUGUGGCAUUGUUGCAAAUCAAGAAUCUCAACAAAAUCUAUAUAUUUAUCCAUAAAGAUCUCUAAAGAAAUAUAUAAAAAAGGAAAACCCAAAAAUUAAUUUUUUUAUAAAUUACAAUAAUUUAUACGAGUUAGAAAUAAAAAAAAAAAUUGGUAACAAAGUUUUUUCAAUCAGUUUAAUCACUAAUUUCAUUUUUCGUAUUUUUUGUUUUAAAAGUUCUUGAAGAAAGAACUCGUACAAGAUUAAAUAUAUUUUUAAAAUGUAAAUUAAUUUAUGUAUACUAUACACAUAUAUACAGACUAUAUUACAUUUUGAUUUAUAUUUUAAUGAUAAAUUAAAAGUAUUAUUUUAAUUUAUUUAAAUACGACUACUAAUUUAAAUUCAAACAGAAAAAAUUAAAUAUAGUGGUGUUCCUUUCAAAUUAAAUUGAAACAUUCGAAACUUUUAAAUAUUAUUAAAAAUAAAAUAAUAUAUACGUUAAAAGAAGUUCUAUGAAUGUUUCUAAUCCAUAGAAUUUUAUAUGGUUUAUGAGUUGUUUUUAUCUUGUGAAUUUUUUUAAUAAAGGAUUUAUUUCAGCUGUCAGUUUUUUUAAUCCAAAUUCAUAUGGUGAAAUCCUAUAAAAUAAUACUAUAAAAUGCACUAAGACGUAUCUAAUUAACCAUAAACAUAAAGGUCUUUUUAUUCAUAAUUUUGUAGUACAAUUAAGAAGCAUAUUUUUUAUUUGAUUUACAUUCACAUAGACAUAAGUCUGAUGGUCUUGUCUUGAACACAACAUCAUAACUUACACAAAGCAUUGAAGUGAGCAAAGAAUACUGAUUCAUUCAUUGCUAGGAAGUUGUAAACAUGACAAUGCAAGAAAACACAAAGCAGAUUCUCUUAUUAUUUAAGCAGUAGUAAGAUAAGAGAGGAUGUUGUUGCAUGUUCUAGGCAUGGUUGUUGUCUUCCACUGGAGGGUACUUUCCAUAAGGUGGUUUCUUCUUGUAUGGUGGCUUUUUGUAUGGUGGUUUGUAGAAAGGUGGUUUUGGCUUGUAAAUGGGAUGCUUAUAAAUAGGAGGCUUGUAAAUUGGAUGCUUCUUGAUUGGUUUGUAAUAAGUAGCAAAACCUUGAGGAAUGAGAAUUAGGGCAGCAAGAAGUAACACCAGAAAGCUUGAAAAGGAAGCCAUUUUUAGGGUUGGUGUGUUAGCAGACUGAGUAAUAUGUUAGUAUAUAUAGUAGUAAGGAAGUUCAAUGUAUUAUGUAGGUGUAAUGUCUCAAUCUAGGUCAUUAAUGAUUUGCUUUGUCACACUUUGAUAUUUGCCAAAGUUUGGUGUGAUUAUUCAUCAUUGAUUU
rnacentral:lncRNA from 1 species